UGAAUACGAGAUGCUACGGCGUCGAAGCAGUCUAUGUCAUACUUCCAAGAAAAGCUUGCACUGUCAUAAACAAAUAAUGCCUGUACCAUAACCGACACAGGUGGGUAGGUAGAGUAUACUAAGGGGCGCGAGAUAACUCUCUCUAAGGAACUCGGCAAAAUGACUCCGUAACUUCGGGAGAAGGAGUGCCUUAUUUAUAAGGUUGCAAUAACAAGAUCCAAGCAACUGUUUACCAAAAACACAGGUCUCCGCUAAGUCGUAAGACGAUGUAUGGGGGCUGACGCCUGCCCAGUGCCAGAAGGUUAAAGAAGUUGGUUAGCAUCCGCGAAGCUGAUAACUGAAGCCCUGGUGAACGGCGGCCGUAACGAUAACGGUCCUAAGGUAGCGAAAUUCCUUGUCGGGUAAGUUCCGACCCGCACGAAAGGCGUAAUGAUUUGGAUACUGUCUCGGAGAGGGGCUCGGUGAAAUAGACUUGUCUGUGAAGAUGCGGACUACCUGCACCAGGACAGAAAGACCCUAUGAAGCUUUACUGUAACCUGAAAUUGAAAUUGGACUUUACUUGCGCAGUAUAGGUGGGAGGCGUUGAGAAUAUUCUUGCGGAUUAUUGGAGCCAUCAGUGAGAUACCACUCUUGUAAUGUUAGAUUUCUAACUUUGUAUCAUUAUCUGGUCAAAGAACAGUUUCAGGCGGGCAGUUUGACUGGGGCGGUCGCCUCCUAAACGGUAACGGAGGCGCACAAAGGUUUCCUCUGAACGGGUAGAAAUCGUAUCUAGAGUGUAAAGGCAUAAGGAAGCUUGACUGUGAGACCUACAAGUCGAGCAGGGACGAAAGUCGGUCUUAGUGAUCUGACGGUGCUGAGUGGAAAGGCCGUCACUCAACGGAUAAAAGUUACUCUAAGGAUAACAGGCUGAUCUCCCCCAAGAGUUCACAUCGACGGGGAGGUUUGGCACCUCGAUGUCGGCUCAUCGCAUCCUGGGGCGGUAGUACGUCCCAAGGGUUGGGCUGUUCGCCCAUGAAAGCGGUACGCGAGCUGGGUUCAGAACGUCGUGAGACAGUUCGGUCCAUAUCCGGUGUAGGCGUUAGAAUAUUGAGAGGAGCCUUCUUUAGUACGAGAGGACCGAGAAGGACAUACCUCUGGUGUACCAGUUAUCGUGCCAACGGUAAACGCUGGGUAGCUAUGUGUGGAGUGGAUAACCGCUGAAAGCAUCUAAGUGGGAAGCCCACCUCAAGAUAAGUA
rnacentral:rRNA from 1 species